rnacentral:rRNA from 1 species
GAACGGGUGAGUAACACGUGAGCAACCUGCCCCUGACUCUGGGAUAAGCGCUGGAAACGGCGUCUAAUACUGGAUACGAACCACGAACGCAUGGUCGUGGUUGGAAAGAUUUUCGGUUGGGGAUGGGCUCGCGGCCUAUCAGCUUGUUGGUGAGGUAAUGGCUCACCAAGGCGUCGACGGGUAGCCGGCCUGAGAGGGUGACCGGCCACACUGGGACUGAGACACGGCCCAGACUCCUACGGGAGGCAGCAGUGGGGAAUAUUGCACAAUGGGCGCAAGCCUGAUGCAGCAACGCCGCGUGAGGGAUGACGGCCUUCGGGUUGUAAACCUCUUUUAGCAGGGAAGAAGCGAAAGUGACGGUACCUGCAGAAAAAGCGCCGGCUAACUACGUGCCAGCAGCCGCGGUAAUACGUAGGGCGCAAGCGUUAUCCGGAAUUAUUGGGCGUAAAGAGCUCGUAGGCGGUUUGUCGCGUCUGCUGUGUAAUCCGGAGGCUCAACCUCCGGCCUGU